rnacentral:tRNA from 1 species
GGCGAGGUAGCUCAGCAGGUAGAGCAGCGGACUGAAAAUCCGUGUGUCGACGGUUCGAUUCCGUCCCUUGCCA